rnacentral:rRNA from 1 species
UGGGGAAUAUUGCGCAAUGGGGGCAACCCUGACGCAGCAAUACCGCGUGAGUGAAGAAGGUUUUCGGAUCGUAAAGCUCUGUUAUUGGGGAAGAAAACAUGACGGUACCCAAUGAGGAAGUCCCGGCUAACUACGUGCCAGCAGCCGCGGUAAUACGUAGGGGACAAGCGUUGUCCGGAAUGACUGGGCGUAAAGGGCGCGUAGGCGGUCUAUUAAGUCUGAUGUGAAAGGUACCGGCUCAACCGGUGAAGUGCAUUGGAAACUGGUAGACUUGAGUAUUGGAGAGGCAAGUGGAAUUCCUAGUGUAGCGGUGAAAUGCGUAGAUAUUAGGAGGAACACCAGUGGCGAAGGCGGCUUGCUGGACAAAUACUGACGCUGAGGUGCGAAAGCGUGGGGAGCGAACA